rnacentral:lncRNA from 1 species
GCAUCCACUAUAGAUCUCCUGGGGUCAAAUUCCACUUUGAAAAAAAACAUAUAUGAAUCAUUGUACACGUACCUUUGGAAACAUGUGAUUGGUUCGUACGAUUUCUGUGGUCUUAUAGAGCGUAAAGCAUAUCCUGCCUAAAAGGCAUUGCCUUCACGUCGUAGCAACCUUCAUAGGAUUUCUAAAAUUCUUCACUCAACGAUGACAACUAUGAAACUCGUGUACCUCUUUUCCUUUGAUGCCCUGCACGCCUUUGAAUCUUGAAUCAUAGACAUAAGAGACAUCAAGAAUUGAGCCACAUGUUGCCGAUGGUUCAGUAAUAUGCAUACCAUUCAAAAAGUGUCACGCUUUAUGUUAAUCUCCUUUCC